rnacentral:rRNA from 1 species
UGUUUCGGCUAGGGGGCCAUCCCGGCUUACCAACCCGAUGCAAACUGCGAAUACCGGAGAAUGUUAUCACGGGAGACACACGGCGGGUGCUAACGUCCGUCGUGAAGAGGGAAACAACCCAGACCGCCAGCUAAGGUCCCAAAGUCAUGGUUAAGUGGGAAACGAUGUGGGAAGGCCCAGACAGCCAGGAUGUUGGCUUAGAAGCAGCCAUCAUUUAAAGAAAGCGUAAUAGCUCACUGGUCGAGUCGGCCUGCGCGGAAGAUGUAACGGGGCUAAACCAUGCACCGAAGCUGCGGCAGCGACGCUCAGGCGUUGUUGGGUAGGGGAGCGUUCUGUAAGCCUGUGAAGGUGGCCUGUGAGGGUUGCUGGAGGUAUCAGAAGUGCGAAUGCUGACAUAAGUAACGAUAAAGCGGGUGAAAAGCCCGCUCGCCGGAAGACCAAGGGUUCCUGUCCAACGUUAAUCGGGGCAGGGUGAGUCGACCCCUAAGGCGAGGCCGAAAGGCGUAGUCGAUGGGAAACGGGUUAAUAUUCCCGUACUUGGUGUUACUGCGAAGGGGGGACGGAGAAGGCUAUGUUGGCCGGGCGACGGUUGUCCCGGUUUAAGCGUGUAGGUGUGUGUUCCAGGUAAAUCCGGUUCACUUUAACACUGAGGCGUGACGACGAGGCACUACGGUGCUGAAGCAACAAAUGCCCUGCUUCCAGGAAAAGCCUCUAAGCAUCAGGUAACAUCAAAUCGUACCCCAAACCGACACAGGUGGUCAGGUAGAGAAUACCAAGGCGCUUGAGAGAACUCGGGUGAAGGAACUAGGCAAAAUGGUGCCGUAACUUCGGGAGAAGGCACGCUGACACGUAGGUGAAGUGAUUUACUCAUGGAGCUGAAGUCAGUCGAAGAUACCAGCUGGCUGCAACUGUUUAUUAAAAACACAGCACUGUGCAAACACGAAAGUGGACGUAUACGGUGUGACGCCUGCCCGGUGCCGGAAGGUUAAUUGAUGGGGUCAGCGCAAGCGAAGCUCCUGAU